rnacentral:tRNA from 2 species
AGGAUUAUAUUUAAUUAUAAUAUUUGAUUUGCAUUCAAAAAGUGUUCAAGGAACUAAUCUUA